UACAGAGGUCUCAAGCGUUGUUCGGAUUUAUUGGGCGUAAAGGGUGCGUAGGUGGCGUGGUAAGUCGGGUGUGAAAUUUCGGAGCUUAACUCCGAAACUGCAUUCGAUACUGCUGUGCUUGAGGACUGGAGAGGAGACUGGAAUUUACGGUGUAGCAGUGAAAUGCGUAGAGAUCGUAAGGAAGACCAGUGGCGAAGGCGGGUCUCUGGACAGUUCCUGACACUGAGGCACGAAGGCCAGGGGAGCAAACGGG
rnacentral:rRNA from 1 species